ensembl:lncRNA
AAACAUUUCUGCCGCAUUGAAGGUCCCAAUGAGCACAUUUACUCCGUCAUCCGUAAAUAGAAGAAGUCUGGAACCAGCAGGACUCUUCCUAGAGCUGGCCGCCCAGCCAAACUGAGCAAUCGGGGGAGAAGGGCCUUAGUCAGGGACGUAAUAAGGCUGUAAGAUAACAAAAUGUGGGAAAAGUGAAGCGCUGUGAAUACUUUCCGGAUGCACUGUAGAUAGACGGCUAGACAGAUAAACAGAUAUUCAUGUAGAUCUACAAACAGAGAGACAGAUAUAUGUAUGAUACUGCAAAACCAAUUCACAAAUUCCAAAACAACAUGGUUGACAGCCAUCACGUGGGAGCACACGAGGAAUGUGCGUGAAACAGAAGACCUCCAGAACAUUCAAAACGGAAGCUUCCCCUUGUCCCUGUGAUGGUGAAGAGCGAUUACGUUGGGAGAAGAUUUUCAUCAUGAUGGAGGACUCACACGUGAUGCAGAAGAUUCUCCUCCAGGCCAAUGAGGAGUUGAAGAUGGAGAUCUCCUCACUGAGAAACCACAUCCAGAAGAUCUCCCGUGACAUCUCCACUUCCUGUCGCAGAGUCAUGGAGGAGACCUGCAGGUCCAUGAACGUGCAGCAGAACCUCAGAGCGGACCAGAACACAACCCGGCUAACACGAGAUGUCCAGCAGAACGUUACUGUACAGCAGCUGGAGGAGACGGAGGAGGUGAGGAAGAGAGAGGACAUGAAGGAUUUGAAGAACGUGGAGAUGACAGAGAUGGACAAAUCUGAGAAGAUGGAGGAGAGUGACAAAUGGUGGAGAUGGACAAAAUGGAGAUUUUGGAGAUGAUGAAGAACUCAGAAUGAAAGAUGACUGGAGUGAUAAUUAUGAUUAAAUCUAUGUGUGUUUCUCUUUGUUCAUGUGCAUGUGCCUGCCAUGUUUACUGUAUUUCUCUGAGGAGCUUCACCACGCUGUUCCUCAUAAGAAGCUUCACGGUGACUCAAAGGCAUUUAGACGUGAUGAUGAUUUCAGACUUUAUAAAACAACUAUGUCAUUUCCAACAUUAUCAUUUUCCUUGUGUUUUAUUUUCACUAUGAGUUUUAUUUCUACCAUUAUAUUUAAAGUCGAGUGUAUCUCCUUGAGUUUGCACCUCCUCAGGAUAAAAUGGGGGGGA